UCAACGGAGAGUUUGAUCCUGGCUCAGGACGAACGCUGGCGGCGUGCUUAACACAUGCAAGUCGAGCGGUAAGGCCUUUCGGGGUACACGAGCGGCGAACGGGUGAGUAACAC
rnacentral:rRNA from 1 species